GACGAACGCUGGCGGCGUGCCUAAUACAUGCAAGUUGAGCGCUGAAGGUUGGUACUUGUACCGACUGGAUGAGCAGCGAACGGGUGAGUAACGCGUGGGGAAUCUGCCUUUGAGCGGGGGACAACAUUUGGAAACGAAUGCUAAUACCGCAUAAAAACUUUAAACACAAGUUUUAAGUUUGAAAGAUGCAAUUGCAUCACUCAAAGAUGAUCCCGCGUUGUAUUAGCUAGUUGGUGAGGUAAAGGCUCACCAAGGCGAUGAUACAUAGCCGACCUGAGAGGGUGAUCGGCCACAUUGGGACUGAGACACGGCCUAAACUCCUACGGGAGGCAGCAGUAGGGAAUCUUCGGCAAUGGACGAAAGUCUGACCGAGCAACGCCGCGUGAGUGAAGAAGGUUUUCGGAUCGUAAAACUCUGUUGGUAGAGAAGAACGUUGGUGAGAGUGGAAAGCUCAUCAAGUGACGGUAACUACCCAGAAAGGGACGGCUAACUACGUG
rnacentral:rRNA from 1 species